UCCGUAGGCGGUGCGGCAAGUCGGAAGUGAAAUCUCAGGGCUUAACCCUGAGGCUGCUUCCGAAACUGCCGUGCUCGAGUGCGAGAGAGGCGAGUGGAAUUGCAGGUGUAGCGGUGAAAUGCGUAGAUAUCUGCAGGAACAUCCGAGGCGAAAGCGGCUCGCUGGAUCGCAACUGACGCUGAGGGACGAAAGCUAGGGGAGCAAACAGGAUUAGAUACCCUGGUAGUCCUAGCCCUAAACGAUCAGGACUGGGCGUGGGCCUCGUACGGGGCUCGUGCCGCAGCUAACGCGUUAAGUCCUGCGCCUGGGGAGCACGGUCGCAAGGCUGAA
rnacentral:rRNA from 1 species